rnacentral:rRNA from 1 species
UGAUCUACCCAUGCCGCGUGAGUGAUGAAGCCUUAUGGUCGUAAAGCUCUUUCGCCUGUGAAUGAUAUGACAGUACCAGGUAAAAAAACCCCGGCUAACUCCGUGCCAGCACCCGCGGUAAUACGGAGGGGGUUAGCGUUGUUCGGAAUUACUGGGCGUAAAGCGCGCGUAGGCGGAUUAGAAAGUUGGGGGUGAAAUCCCGGGGCUCAACCCCGGAACUGCCUCCAAAACUGCUAGUCUAGAGUUCGAGAGAGGUGAGUGGAAUUCCGAGUGUAGAGGUGAAAUUCGUAGAUAUUCGGAGGAACACCAGUGGCGAAGGCGGCUCACUGGCUCGAUACUGACGCUGAGGUGCGAAAGUGUGGGGAGCAAACAGGAUUAGAUACCCUGGUAGUCCACACCGUAAACGAUGAAUGCCAGUCGUCGGAUAGUAUACUAUUCGGUGACACACCUAACGGAUUAAGCAUUCCGCCUGGGGAGUACAGUCGCAAGAUUAAAACU